rnacentral:rRNA from 1 species
AUGGCGGAGUACGACGAGGAGCUAGCGCAUGACCAUUGUGGCCACCAAGUCGCGGCUGCGGGGGAGGGAUCUCCGGGGAUGAGGCCGCCGUCGGGUCAAAGGGGAUGGAGGCGGCCGGUGAUGGCGAGGUCCGGCGGCUCUGCGUGCCGGGCUAUACGGCGCCCAGCUCUUGGCUGCCGGCACCGGGCAGAUCUGGAACCAAGCAGCGCUCCUGCAGCUUCUCACAGUCUCAGAUUCGUGGUGCCUGACAGCCUUCACAACUUCUGUACACAUCGCAACUUCUGUACACAUGACAAGCCUGUAAGAUUUCAGAAGUUAAGAUAA